UCUGUCUCCCUUUAUCCAGAAAGUUCUCUCUACCUUCUCUCUUCUCUUCUUCAUUUAUUCUUAGAUCUAGUGCUCGUUUUUUUAUCUUUUUACUGAUUUUAUGUGGUUUUUGUAAGUUGAUCUUGAUUUCGCUCAUGGUAUCAGAGCCUAGACUAGCGUCACCCUUCCUGUCGGCAUGUUUACGGUGAGGAUAACAUUGUUCAAGAUGUGGUGCAGUGCAGAACGAGUGAGGAUGAAGGAAAAAAGAAAGAAAAAGCUGGAGGUGGAACCAUAUAAGCAUAUAAUCAAAUGUUUCCUUCCUUUAUUGGUAUGGGAGGAGUUGGCAAGAAUUUAUUCUCGCUUGUAUACAGGGCAGAGGAGGAUUGCAUCCAAGGGAAACAUGCCCACAAACUAGCGAGUUUAUAAGGUGGUCUUUUAUUGUGUUUGUGGUUUAAUCGCUGGUAUGGGUACUGGACUGCUUGGUAUUGGUGGAGGAUUCAUUUUAGGCCCUCUCUUUCUCAAGCUUGAAAUCCCUCCUCAGGUACAGGUGAUCGAGGUAGUUGCGAGGCACAGUCAGGUCAGUGUAAAUAGAUCUAGCUAAAGCAAGGUAUCUCUGGUUUAUAUUACAUACACAAAGCGGCAUAUUUUUGUCGACUUUUAACCUUUUUGAGAUGAUUGUACAAUUACAUAUAAUUACUCUUUGUUUUCAGAUGAGUUUUCAUAUGAGUAUAUAUAUUUUUUGGUUUGCUUUCAGAUUUUCAGUUUUUGAAAAUAAUUUUUAAACACUUUUAGUGACGUAUUUAUGUUAAAAGUAUUUUAAAAAAAAACAAAAUAUAGAUGCUUUGGAUAUUAAUUUGUGACAUUUCUUCUUGGGUAGAUAGUAAUUCUAGGAUGAGAUGUUACAAGUUGGUAUUAAAACAUGAUUUUGAGAACUUAAAAGAUGUUUUUUAAAACAAAAUGGAGUAAUUUAAAGUAACACAGAGAUGAAAUAUCCUCCAGCCACGUUGACCACCUUCGCAGCGAAGCACUGUAAGUUAGGUUUUCACUUAUACAUAUUGAGUUUUAUGAAAUUAAUGUGUUUAUUUUCAGGAUCUAUGAGUCAAACAUCAGUAGAUUCUUUUCAGAGUAGCCAGAAUGAAGGGACAACCCCCCGGGACCUCAAGGGGCACUUAGUGCACAUGAUGUGCGAGAGAUUUUCAGAGAGAUGAUGAGAGAGCACAAAGGUGCACCUACACAAGAAAGUGAGACGGCACAUACGCCACCAACCUAGGGACAUGAUAUGAGGGAGGUUACUUCAGCAUCUACAACAGCGUUAGCGAGGACUCAGUUGCAUCCUAUUUUCAACCUCUUUAGUAUGCAUCAACCUCAAAAAUUUGAUGGUGUAAAGGACCCAAUAGCAGUUGAAGAAUGAUUGGAAUCAGUAGAGUGUAAUAGCUGUAUUUAACAUGACGACCAAGAGAGUGAGAUAUGCCACCUGCUUUUUCAAGUCAGGCGUAAGAAUAUGGUGGAACUUAGUUAGAAAGACGGUUAAUGCCUUAGAGAUGACACGAUUCGAGUUCAGGCGUCGAUUUGAGGCAGAGUACAGGGGCAUCGAUGUUAAUUGUAUCAAGGCGAAAGAGUUUAUUAAUUUAGUACAGGGGACAAAUUCUGUAAAAGAAUAUUCCAUGAAGUUUAAUCAGUUGUCCUAGUAUGCGCCGGAGAUAGCUAACACAGAAAUGGGGUGUAUGCGAAAGUUUGUGUACGGGCUAGAUCCAAAGAUAGCUUGAGAUGUUAUGAUAGGGGCGCAACCACCUAGAACUUAUGCCGAGGCCGGUGAUAGAGCUUUGAGGGCAGACGUUUUGUCAAGAGGAGGUUCGGUCAGAGUAUAGGGUAAAAGGUUACAUCUACUGCCAUACUAGUUCCUCCACUGUGUAGUUGUUUAGUUUCAACACAAAGGCCCUCCUCCAGAGCGAGACAGGAAGGGUAAACGACCUCUUCAGUUUAGAGGGAUGAAAAGAUACUUGUAAUUAUUUGUAUUGACUUGAUGAAGUAUUAUUAGUUUAGAAAUACUAUUGAAUCAAUAAAUUGUAUGAAUUUUAUAAGUUAAUGUAUAAUGUUAUAGGUCAUCUUUCAAAUAUA